rnacentral:lncRNA from 1 species
GGCCUGUGAUGCAGAGGUUUUACUUCUCUUAUUGGGAUGAGUUACACCUUCCACUACUUGUAGAGAUGGGAUCAAUCUUAGCAAAUCUGAAGCUGAGCGUUUCCGUGACUUCUGGUCUUUUCUCAACAAAGGACCAUCAGAGGUAACUGCAAGAUCAGCUGACUCAGAGACAACAGUUAGGGAUGGAGACAAUACCAUGGACAACUCUUUGUUAGAGUUCUUCUUCAUAGCUGAACCCUUCCCAGGGGGAGGAGAUGACAACAGAUUAAAAGAGCUAGAUUCCAAAGGGCCUUGCGUACUGUAGAAGGAAUCAGAUUGAUAGCUAGUCAACAGCAGAGCUUUUCCAUCAGCGGAUGACGUCACUUUCUGAUGUCCAAACACUUCAUCAACGAUGCUAGAGAAACUCAACUGGCCUCCACUCAUCUCCGCCAAAGACUCCUCAACUAAUCCAGGACCACGGUGUCCAGACGCUUGACUCAAGCUCCUCUCAGCGUCUGAGAACGAAGACACAAAUCUAGCUACAUCGGAUGUAAUCAAGUUGAGAUCAUCUUCAAGAAUCCGUAUCUGCCCAAUAUCAAUCUUCUUAACACGCAGAACGUUGCUCAGAUCGUUGAGAAACUGAGGCUUCCCCGAACCGUCCGUUUGAGUUUCCGCUAGUUUAAACAACGGCGUGAAGUCCUUUUCGAGCUCCAUGAGCAAGAGGUGAGAGCUUUCACAGUCAGGGAAUCCCAGAGCCAGGAUGCUUGGCCCAUCAGAGAGGCUUUUGGGGGCUUUGUUUACACCAAAACCAUGUUCGUAGACCUGCAUUAAACCAAAAACGGUCAGAAACUGAGCUUGAACAAAAAGCUGAAGCACACAGUUACUUACCUCAAGACCCAAGAAUUUGCCAAUGGCGGCAAAAAAAUGCAAAAUGCUUUUGCUUCUCAGGUUGAUAAAGGCAUCAACAGCAGAUAUGCUUCCUUGGUUUAACGCAUCUUCAAAUUCAACCAAGAUGGAGGGGGUCAAGACACUCUUGGAUGACUGAAGAAGAAACUUACCGGUCCUGCAAUCAUUAAUGUAAAAUGAGAAACGCCAGGCUAGAUAAAAUCUCUCUCUAUAUGUAAAUAAAAGAAAAUAUUAUACCUUAUAUUGAUCCCAAGUGUGAAAAAUGAUGAUCCAUAGGCUCGGACUCGUAAUACCUCUGGCUCUAUUUGUUCCUUAGAAUCUACCAUGCUACCUCCCUGAAAGAAAGAAGAAAGAAGAAUAACCAAAUUAAACUCAAUUAAAUAAAUAUUGAGAAUACCAAUAGCAUACUAACUCCACAGCUACAAGAAAGCUAGGGGAAAAUCACUAUUCUUAACAAUUACAAUUGCGUCAAAACAAAUACAGAUUAUUAUAUUCUUUUUACCUCACUGCCAGGCUCAUCCAGGAAGGCCUGAAGGAUAACAUCACUAGGAGCUCGACAAAUCCUGUCACUCCUCAAAAGCUCUUUCUGAAUCUCAAGAAGACGUGUGUAUCUAUUACAGCAAAUAGCUUUAAGCAGAAGCUUCUCCACGUCAAUGCAGCUCUGAUCCAGAGAAAACUCAGCUUCCUUGCCGGUCAGAGGGUCAAUCACAAACGUGCUGUGAGAACACUUAAUCUGAAGAUCUGACACCGGCUCGAUUUUAACGAACGAGCCAGCAUUGUUUUUAUCAGAAUCUAGCCAGUAUAUUAGCUUCACUCCUGGCGUUUUGAGACUGACGGAAUCCGCCUCUCCUUCUUGGUUUGCUGGUGCUGUGCCGGUGUCCGAGAUCAAGUCAAAGCGAAUCGCAUCUUUCCAUCUCCCGUGGAGAAGCGUUCGCACCUGCCUUAUGACUGUGUCCAUGACAAUGGCGACGCAAAGCUCAUGGAGCACCGCAUAUAGUAUAGUGAAUGGAUUCUCUGCAACUGACAUUCUCCGCUCUAGAUCAUCGCCGAGGAUAUGCCGUCUUGUCACCUCGAGUUUAAUCGGACCGCCGCUUCUCUCACCAACAAGGAGAUCCAAAUGCAGUAUCCUCCACAUGGACAGGUGUCCUCGGUAACCGAGAGUCACCAGAACCUUAAACUCCCCUUCGACGGAUAAGGUAACUGUGCCUUUAGAGACUUUCACCUCUGUGAUCUCUUUUGGAAGCGUGAUCUCGAGUAGCUUGGAGCGUACGAGCACCUCCAGCUUCCUUAGCGCUGGCUUCUGCUGCUGCUCGUCCAGAGAGCACUGCAUCCCCACAUCGUCUACGCACUUUGGGAGGCGCUGGUAAGAGCCUGUCAGCAAGACUUCGAUAGCGGAGGGGACGUCGUAGACGGGAGCACGAGCUUGCUGGAGACCUUCGUGCAUGAAGAAGAGUGAAUCCGCAGCUUGUGUGAAGCAUAUAUCGUGAGAUGAUAGUGUGCUCCCGACGUCCUGCAAGCGGUUUAUUAGAGGAACCUGCAGCCAAAGGUGAGUGAAUAAGAGGCUUAGUAAAUUUCUGAUUACUUUCUCCAUAAAGAUAGUAAACACAAACAAGUAACAAUAAUCAUAUGAAAUAUUAAUGGAACGUUGAUCUAAAGUAGCUGCCUAGGAAUUUCACAAAGACUGCAAACCUAGUUAAAAGUAGAGACUACACUAGUUAAAGAUAGUCUUAACAUUUCCUAAACUGAUUCACCAAUGAUAACAAUUGACCUGGUUCAAAUGUACUAAUCAGUAUUCUAAAGUUCAGUGAUAAUACAAAAACUGAACACAACCAAGGCAAAUAGCUCAGAUUUUUCAACAAUAUAUCCACAUUAGCCGAACUAAAAAGUAUAAAAGUUUGAUAAUCUUUUAUUUUAGUUGUUCAGAGAAGUAACAAAAAGCUGAGAACUUUAGCAAACACCAAGGCAGCUUAAUAUACCAGAGUAAUCAAAAGACAUAACUUCAUACAGUUGCAAUGAGAAACACAUAUGUCUGAGAGGCAUCAAUGGACUUGUUAGAGAACAAUAUAAGCUUUAGCAGACAAAACAACAACAAAAACCCCAUCAAAGUCAAACAAGAGCAGCUUCCAACUCCUUGGCUACCUGUCAGAUUCGGUUCUAAACCGUUUAACUCUUGAGCAACAUGCUCCAUGAUGAAAGGUCUGAACUGGGGACAUGGCAAGGAGCCUCCAAUAGAAGCACCACCCUUGGGUGGAGUUGCUGGUUGCAACCAGACUUGAUCUCCAGCAAAGCAUCUCAUGUCCACCGCAAAACGUUUGCGGUAUAUGAUCCUUAUCCAAUAGGGUCCACGGAGUACUACAGAGACAUCAAUGGGUAAGAGAGAGCUGGGAACGAUUCCAGGUCCGCUUCUCCCUGCAGCUCCAUGGAAACUUCCACCGAGUGGACUUGGAGCAGGAGAAGGAGAAGCAACAGCACUCCCUGAGGCAGACUGGCCAACAGCAUUUGGAGCUGCUAAAGUUGAAGGUUGAGUUUGUUGCGUCUGAUUUGAUUGUCUGGAAGUCGCUGUAGCAGGUACGACAGUCACGCCAGUGGCUGAACUAGCUCGGGCAGGGCGAGUAGCAGCAGCUAACGCAGUCAAAGGCCCAGCAGUAAGGCGAAUGCAAUCCAGAAGAGAUUCUACCUCUCCACCAUUUAUGAAAUCCUCCAAGAACUGUACAAGAAUAACCCACAAUAAGCAAAAUUAUAUAUAUAGAGUAAAAACUCUAUAAAUUAAUAAUGUUGGACUAUGGUAUUUUAUUAAUUUACAAAAAGUUUCCUUUUUAGAUUUUUUCUUUUUAAAAUAUAUUUUUCCAAAAUAUUUUCAUGUAUAUACAUUAAUUAAAAGUUUGGAAUUUGACAUUCAUAUUGUUUUUAUUAUAUUAUUUGGUGUAUAUAAUAUGUUUUAUAGAACUUAAAUGUGGUUUUAGAUAUAAUUUUACUAAAUCUCAUCAAAAUAUAUUAAAUGUUAAUAAAAUAUUAAGAUCAUUCCAUUGUUAAUAUAAAAAAAACAAUAAAUGGUUUGUUUUUACUUAUAUAAAAUGUAUAUAAGUAUAUAAAUAAUCAGUUCAUAAUUUUAAUGGGACCAUAUAUUUACAUAUGUUUUUUUAACUAUUCUUUUAUUAUUUUAUCGAUUUGUAUUAUAUUUUGAACCGGCCCAAUGGGACAGUAGAAAUUUAUUAAUUUAUGGUGUUUAUUAAUUUAUUAAUUUAUGGUAUUUAUUAAUUUGGGAGUACUAAUUUAUAGAAUUCUAUUGUACAUACCUCUUAAGAGUAAAAAGUAAUUCCUAUGAAAUACUCACCUUGGUAUGUGGCCAGUGUUGGUCAGGAGAGACGUGCAUGGUGCAUUCAUCUUUACCUGAUUCCCACUCCACAACAAAACGAGCCAAAAUGCCCGAACCAAAGCUAAACCACAGGCUCGUCAAUCCCACUGCCUCAAUCUUGAAAGCCCUCCAUCUAUCAACCGCCUCCCCACCGCCUUUCCCUCCAGCAGGUCCUUUAACAGCGUGAUUAGCACCACCAGGCUCUUCUGUUUUCUCAUCCGCCUUUAUGCCAAGUAGUUUCCGCAUGCCAAGGGAGAACCUUCUAGCAUUAGAAAGCCUCUGUAUAUCGGCCACAAGCUUCUUGAUACUAUCUGCUUCCACGGACUGAUAGGUCAGAACAACGCCUUCAGGGUCAUAACGGAUAUGUGAAUCAACGUCAGACGAAUUAGCAAUGUGGACUCCGGAUCCCCACGGUGUUGAUUUGCUUCCCUUCUGAAGCUCCCAGAGAUCCCUGAAGUGCUGGUCGUUUAUUUUCACAUCCCAACACAUGCUCCCGGGUCUACCGAGCUGCAAGCAUAUAUGUUGCCAGGAAUCAUUCUGAGCAAACGGAAGACGGAACCAUAUGUCUGAAAACGAAUCUCUCAGUCCCAUCUCCUCAACGUAUUGGAUGUCCAGCGCCUCCAUCUGGCUAGUUAGCUUGGCGUGCUUUAUGGACAGAGAAGAGUGCCUGACCACGUGGAGAAGAGCGUAGACGAAAACGCUUGACGGUGCGUUCCCUUUGUUUGCUUCAGCUAUGAGAUCCCCAUAGCUGCAUCCAAUAGCUUUUGUUGAUGUUACCACUGCAGUAGAUAGGGCCUGUGAUGCAGAGGUUUUACUUCUCUUAUUGGGAUGAGUUACACCUUCCACUACUUGUAGAGAUGGGAUCAAUCUUAGCAAAUCUGAAGCUGAGCGUUUCCGUGACUUCUGGUCUUUUCUCAACAAAGGACCAUCAGAGGUAACUGCAAGAUCAGCUGACUCAGAGACAACAGUUAGGGAUGGAGACAAUACCAUGGACAACUCUUUGUUAGAGUUCUUCUUCAUAGCUGAACCCUUCCCAGGGGGAGGAGAUGACAACAGAUUAAAAGAGCUAG